rnacentral:rRNA from 1 species
UACGUAGGGUGCAAGCGUUGUCCGGAAUUAUUGGGCGUAAAGAGCUCGUAGGCGGUCUGUUGCGUCGGCUGUGAAAACCCGGGGCUCAACUCCGGGCCUGCAGCCGAUACGGGCAGACUAGAGUUCGGCAGGGGAGACUGGAAUUCCUGGUGUAGCGGUGAAAUGCGCAGAUAUCCGGAAGAACACCGGUGGCGAAGGCGGUCUGCUGGGGUGAGGCUGACGCUGAGGCGCGACAGCGUGGGGAGCAAACAGG